rnacentral:snRNA from 2 species
UCACCUUUCUCAGCAUUUUGGUUAAGAUCAAGUGUAGUAUCUGUUCUUAUCAGUUUAAUAUCUGAUAUGUGGCCCAAUAGUCCACACGAUAUUAAAUUGCUUUUUUUAGGGAGAGAGUCCGCCUAGUAGUUUGCUACUUGGGUUCUCAAAUGUCGCCUUUGCGUUGCACUAUUGUAUGGGCUGGCGCAUCCCAC